GCAAUGUGCUAGACUGCAGUGGCAACUCCCAGUCAAGUCUCUAUUUGUUUACAAGCCUUGUUGCCACAGGAGCCAGGUGCUUUCCAUGUUCAGCCCUGGCUCCUGCCAUGAGCAGCAUGUCCAGCCUGCAGGGGCUGCCAGCAGCCACUGACUAAUAGGACCGUCUUGACCCUGGUGACAGAAGGCAGUGUCUUGCUGAUCUGCAUAACCCUUGGCAAGCAGCAGCUGCAGAGCAGCAGAGGAGGGUCACUGCAUAGCUGUGUGACUCA
rnacentral:lncRNA from 1 species